CAAUAGCGUAUAUUUAAGUUGUUGCAGUUAAAAAGCUCGUAGUCGGAUUUCUGGUGGGAGCGAUCGGUCUGGCGCUUAGCGCGAGUACUUGCAUCGUCUCCGGCCAUCCUUGGGGAGAGUCUGUCUGGCAUUAGGUUGUCGGGCAGAGGAUCCUCAUCGUUUACUGUGAAAAAAUUAGAGUGUUCAAAGCAGGCUUAUGCCGUUGAAUAUAUUAGCAUGGAAUAAUAAGAUAGGACUUUGGUACUAUUUUGUUGGUUUGCGCACCAAAGUAAUGAUUAAUAGGGACAGUUGGGGGUAUUCGUAUUCCGUUGUCAGAGGUGAAAUUCUUGGAUUUACGGAAGACGAACUACUGCGAAAGCAUUUACCAAGGAUGUUUUCAUUA
rnacentral:rRNA from 1 species